GCCUAAAGGCUCAAAACCCAGAAGACCUAAUGCUAUAUUGAUUUUUUUUAUAUGUCUUCUGAUUUAGUGGGGUCAGAAUUCCGCCCCUAAACACACACACUUUCACAACUACUGUUCCCAGAGGCCUAUGCGGGCACAGACAUGCGCAGCAACGCGCGCCCUGCCCGGUAUUUUCCCGCGGAUUUUAUGUAAUCCCGGACCUAGGAGCGGGAACUCCGGGAAGAACUCUCCUCCUCCUCCUGGCCACAUGCCGCGGGAGCCGGGUCCAGCGCGGCUUCCUUCGGCCAGUCCAGCGGGGACCGAGGCGGGCUCUCAGAGCGGUGGCGCAGGGUCUGUCUCUGAACAGAAUUCUCCCGCCGGCCGGCGCCAUCUUUGCUGGUUGGGGUAACAGCGGCUCCUGUUCCCAAGCGGCAGCAGCGCCGCGUCCCUCAUUCAAGAUGGCGACGGCCGGGUGAUUGACAUGCCUAGUCACGUGGGCAGUAGCGGGUCACGCCAGGAACAGGGCAAAGCCGAGCAGGGAGCUGGGCGGGGUUUCCCUCUGCUUUUCAUAGCCCGGCAAGGCGCGUCUGGCUGAUGUCUGCGGCAGAUAGAGGAGACGAGGAUCAUCAAAGGACCAAGAGCCCUUUUAUCUCCGCUCUUGUUUCCCUGUAAUUUCGUUUAUUGUCCAGCUUGCUUGUCUCUUUAUUUUCCUCUUCAGGAGGGGUCGGGUGCACCAUGGCCCUGGCUGAGGUAGUAGUUUGUGCUGUUGGUCGGGUUGUGACAUUGCCCGCUGUGGAGAUAACUGCGCAAGCUACUGCCUUGCUAGUGCUGGUGAUGAUCGGCUACAGAUGAAGACAAUGACAAUGGGAAUCCCCUUUGUUUUCCCGGAAUUGCAUGCUGAUGGGGUGGCAAACAAUUCUUCCCCCUCCUCUUCCUGCAGAAAUUGAGCCUUUCCUUGGCUACUGAAAUGUGAGUGGUUCCUUUUUACACCAGUGAGAUAUUGCUCUGUUGGUGCAGCUGGAUGGAAGACCAUUAGUUUUGGGGUGGGUUUUACAUUGUCUUUUGGAAUUUUGGCUGAAGAGCAAGUCGAGUAUCUGGUUCUUUUAAUGCUUAGGUUAUCUUUGCCCACCACCUUUUGAAGGGGAUGGAUCUGAUAUUUUCUGAAGACAUAAGGGUCAAUGACUGACUUGUAUUGUUUCUGUGUAUUUUGAAUAUGUAUUGCUUCAAAUGUUGUAUUUGUAUUUAAAAUCACAAGUAUAUAUUUAUACUGAAAAACUGGUUAUUAUCUGUUUGGGAAAAGCCGAUAUGUAUGAAGAGCACUUCAUUGCUUACUGUGAAGACAAUAUUUGUACAAUACAAGCUCAUUAAUUUUAUUUUGCUUAACAUUUACAGAUUUCUUGUUCUGUUUUAGGUGAAUCUUUAAAAUGUCUGGUGUACAUUUUGAUUAUUUUACAGUAGAGCAAAUUAACCUAAGAAGUAUGGAUGGCGUAAAUUCAUAUUGCUGGCAUUUUUUAUUAGAAUGGUGAUUGAGAGAUACUUUUUGUGAAUUUUAGUGUGUUGACCACACAUUAGUAUGGUAUGAAUUUAAAAUGUAUUAAAAUGUUUACAAUAAAUGUACAUUAGUUUGUGUUGUAUUGAGAAUUUAGUUCUUAAAGGAUAUAUCCUUUAAUACUGAAUUUACAUUAUUUCUGCAUGUCUGCUAUUGCAAUUUCAUUUGACACAGUAGAAAAAAUUAUCAAAGCUUUGACUAAUUUUUUUAAAUAAGGCUAAUGCCUUAGUACUAGCCAUCUCUCACAAAUACAUUAUAUUUAGUAAAUUGGGGAUAGAGUUGCCCAGAUGUAUCUCAUAAAUAAGGGGGUCUUAAUGUUUCAACUUACCAAUGAGCAAAUACAUCUUUUAUGUUUCCAAAUCAGACUGAAAUAAUAUAAUAAAAAUAUAUUCUGUAGCUUUAAA